rnacentral:lncRNA from 1 species
CGGAAUACCCGAAAAAUCAAAAUAAUUAUUAAUUAAAAAAUAAAAUUUUUAUAAUUAUAUAUGUAUGACAGUACAAGUCUGUCUGUCUAAUGAGUCUAUCAUUAUUCCAGUAUUCACAUCCCAAUUCCUUCACGGUCUUGCCUCUAUUCGUCUCUCGUCUCAUCCUCUCCACCUCUCUCUCCGUCUCAGUCUCCGGCCUCCGCCUCUCACGAUCUCACCUCGACAACUAUGUUCUUCAAUCUCGACGGCCCGACCUCUCUUCCGAGUUCCAACGUCAGGUAAAUAUAUAUGGCAUACUACUAAUGUUCAAUCCCUUCCUCACACUUACGGAUCUGGAAACAGGACAUGUAAAUUAAUGUAAAUCUAGAAACAUGACGCCUUUCCUUGGAUCAAGUUGGUGAUUUUUGAAACUGGGUCUUUAUUAUUUCUUUCAAUUUUGGUGCAUAAAUGGUUGCCCGGUUAAACAAUUUGAAGAAACCGGCGCACUUAUGACUUUCUGUUGUUGAUUGUAAUUUGUAAUGUUGUAACCUGUUUAGUGUUAAGGUAACUGUUAAUUAUGGAAGCCUUUUAUUUCAGUUAUUCGGUUAUUAGCUAAUUCGAUUAACAAUUCGGAUACUAAAAAUGCGUUAAUUUCGAUUUUCAGCUAUAACCGAAUAGUUUAUUCGGUUCGGUUUGGUUAUAACCGAAUGCUCACUCCUAAUUACAAUUGUAUUAAUCAUUUAAGAUCAAGUUUACUAGCUUUAUCAAUAUUCGUGAUAUUAUAGAUUCAGUUCGACUCGAUUUACACUUCUAUGAGUGCAUUUUAAGCAAACAAAUUUCUUCUCACUUUUGAGAAGAAAGUUAAAGAAAAGAAAAUAAAACAUUCUCUUCUCUUCUCUUUUUUUUUUCUUUAAUUGAAAAACUCUCAGCCACUAUGUUAUUUUGUUAAGAAAAGAAGCUAAGGAAAAUCUAUUCGAAUAUCUCCAAUUCUUAUAUUUGUGAGUUUUUUAAGAAAGAACGAAAGAGAUUUUGAAAUAAAAUUAAUUUUAUUGUUGAGUUAAAACCUUCACCGAAAAGGUAGAGGAUUUAGAAAGACGAUUACAUAUUUUACAUUACCAAAAAUAAUAUUU